rnacentral:rRNA from 1 species
AGUACGGACCGCAAGGUUAAAACCUUCCAAAUGGAAUUGGAACCGGGGGACCCGCCACCAAGCGGGUGGGAAGCAUUGGUGGUUUAAUUUCCGAUGCCAACCGCCGAAAGAACCCUUUACCCUGGUCUUGACAUCCAUCUAUGGAACUUCUUCUAAGAAGAUGAGCAUGUGUGUUGCCUUCUGCGGAACGUAGCUAGAGACAGCGUGCUGCAGUGGCGUGUCGGUCAUGCUCGUCGUUGUCGAAGAUGAUUGGGUUAAUGAUACCCGCAACAGACGCAGCAACCCUUAUCCUUUGUUGCUCGACGCGUGCUCUCUGGCCGGGAACUCUACAUAGAGAGUACAUGCGCACGUGAGUACAACAUCGCGAGAGAAAGUGGGGAUAGACAGCUCAAGUCAUCAUGGCCCUUACGACCAGGGCUACACACGUGCUACAAUGGCAUAUACAAAGAGAAGCGACCUCGCGAGAGCAAGCGGACCUCAUAAAGAUAUGUCUCACUCCGGAUUGUGAGUCUGCGAACUCUCACUCCAUGAAAGAUCGGAAUCUCUAGUAAUCUGCUGGAUCACAAUGCCACGGUGAAUACAUUCCCGGGGCUUGUAGACACCGCCCGUCACACCAUGGGAGUGGGUUGCACAAACAAGUACGUAGCUUAACCUUCUUUAGGGCGCUUACCACUUUGUGAUUCAUGGACUGGGGUGAAGUCAGUAACAG